GUGUGGCGCGCGCGGCCGGGCCGCCCCGGCAGUUGGUGCAGCGGCGGUUGGGGUGAGAGCGCCUACGCCACCCCUCCCCUCCUCCGGCCCCGGCCCCCACCCCGCCGGGCCCAGCCCCAGCCCCGGCCCGGGCUCCAGCCCUAGUACCCGUCCCAGCCCGAGUCGGGUCCGUCCCGUGCGGGCAGGUGCCGCCCCUCUGCCGGCGACGCCCCGGGCCGCCCGCCCGUCCGCUUGCCACCAUGGAGCUGGAGGACGGUGUGGUGUAUCAGGAGGAGCCCGGCGGCUCCGGGGCCGUGAUGUCGGAGCGGGUGUCCGGCCUGGCCGGCUCCAUCUACCGCGAGUUCGAGCGGCUUAUCGGGCGCUAUGACGAGGAGGUGGUCAAAGAGCUGAUGCCGCUGGUGGUGGCUGUGCUGGAGAACCUGGACUCGGUGUUCGCGCAGGACCAGGAGCACCAGGUGGAGCUGGAGCUGCUGCGGGACGACAACGAGCAGCUCAUCACCCAGUACGAGCGGGAGAAGGCGCUGCGCAAGCACGCUGAGGAGAAAUUCAUUGAAUUUGAAGACUCUCAAGAACAGGAAAAAAAGGACUUACAGACCCGAGUGGAAUCUUUAGAAUCUCAAACAAGACAACUUGAGCUGAAAGCGAAAAACUAUGCUGACCAGAUUAGCAGACUUGAAGAAAGAGAAGCAGAACUGAAGAAGGAAUAUAAUGCAUUACAUCAAAGACACACUGAGAUGAUCCAUAAUUAUAUGGAACAUUUAGAAAGAACAAAACUUCAUCAGCUCUCAGGGAGUGAUCAACUAGAAUCCACAGCUCAUAGUAGAAUUAGAAAAGAACGCCCUAUAUCAUUAGGAAUUUUCCCAUUACCUACUGGAGAUGGAUUGCUUACACCUGAUGCUCAGAAAGGAGGAGAGACCCCUGGAUCUGAGCAAUGGAAAUUUCAGGAAUUAAGUCAACCACGUUCUCAUACCAGCCUGAAGGUCAGCAAUAGUCCUGAACCUCAGAAGGCUGUAGAACAGGAGGAUGAGCUUUCUGAUGUUAGCCAAGGCGGAUCUAAAGCUACCACUCCAGCAUCAACAGCUAAUUCAGAUGUGGCAACAAUUCCUACUGAUACUCCCUUAAAGGAAGAAAACGAAGGAUUUGUGAAGGUUACAGAUGCGCCAAAUAAGUCAGAGAUAAGCAAACACAUUGAAGUACAGGUAGCCCAGGAAACUAGAAAUGUAUCUACUGGCUCUGCUGAAAAUGAAGAAAAGUCAGAAGUUCAAGCAAUCAUCGAAUCUACUCCUGAGCUGGAUAUGGACAAAGAUCUCAGUGGAUAUAAAGGUUCAAGCACUCCCACCAAAGGCAUAGAGAACAAAGCUUUUGAUCGCAAUACAGAAUCUCUCUUUGAAGAACUGUCUUCAGCUGGCUCAGGCCUAAUAGGAGAUGUGGAUGAAGGAGCAGAUUUACUAGGAAUGGGUCGGGAAGUUGAGAAUCUUAUAUUAGAAAAUACACAACUGUUGGAAACCAAAAAUGCUUUGAAUAUAGUGAAGAAUGAUUUGAUAGCAAAAGUGGAUGAACUGACCUGUGAGAAAGAUGUGCUGCAGGGGGAAUUGGAGGCUGUGAAGCAAGCCAAACUGAAACUAGAGGAAAAGAACAGAGAAUUGGAGGAAGAGCUUAGGAAAGCUCGGGCAGAAGCUGAAGAUGCAAGGCAAAAAGCAAAAGAUGACGAUGAUAGUGAUAUUCCCACAGCCCAGAGGAAACGGUUUACUAGAGUAGAAAUGGCCCGUGUUCUCAUGGAGCGAAACCAGUAUAAAGAGAGAUUGAUGGAGCUUCAAGAAGCUGUUCGAUGGACAGAGAUGAUUCGGGCAUCACGAGAAAAUCCAGCCAUGCAGGAAAAAAAAAGGUCAAGCAUUUGGCAGUUUUUCAGCCGACUUUUCAGCUCCUCAAGUAACACGACUAAGAAGCCUGAACCACCUGUUAAUCUGAAGUACAAUGCACCCACGUCUCAUGUUACUCCAUCCGUCAAGAAAAGAAGCAGCACCUUAUCUCAGCUCCCUGGGGAUAAGUCCAAAGCCUUUGAUUUCCUUAGUGAAGAAACUGAAGCUAGUUUAGCCUCACGCAGAGAACAAAAGAGAGAGCAGUAUCGUCAGGUAAAAGCACAUGUUCAGAAGGAAGACGGUAGAGUGCAGGCUUUUGGCUGGAGUCUGCCUCAGAAGUACAAACAGGUAACCAAUGGUCAAGGUGAAAAUAAGAUGAAAAAUUUACCUGUGCCUGUCUAUCUCAGACCUCUGGAUGAAAAAGAUACAUCAAUGAAACUGUGGUGUGCUGUUGGAGUCAAUUUAUCUGGUGGGAAGACCAGAGAUGGUGGUUCUGUUGUUGGAGCAAGUGUAUUUUACAAGGAUGUUGCUGGUUUGGAUACAGAAGGCAGUAAACAGCGAAGUGCCUCUCAGAGUAGUUUAGAUAAGUUAGAUCAGGAACUUAAGGAACAGCAGAAGGAGUUAAAAAAUCAAGAAGAAUUAUCCAGUCUAGUUUGGAUCUGUACCAGCACUCAUUCGGCUACAAAAGUUCUUAUUAUUGAUGCUGUUCAACCUGGCAACAUCCUAGACAGUUUCACUGUUUGCAACUCUCAUGUUCUGUGCAUUGCAAGUGUGCCAGGUGCACGAGAAACAGACUACCCUGCAGGAGAAGAUCUUUCAGAAUCUGGUCAGGUAGACAAAGCAUCUUUAUGUGGAAGUAUGACAAGCAACAGCUCAGCAGAGACAGACAGCCUGUUAGGAGGCAUCACAGUGGUUGGUUGUUCUGCAGAAGGUGUGACGGGAGCUGCCACUUCCCCUAGUACAAAUGGUGCUUCUCCAGUGAUGGAUAAACCACCAGAAAUGGAAGCAGAAAAUAGUGAGGUUGAUGAAAAUGUUCCAACAGCAGAAGAAGCAACUGAAGCUACAGAAGGGAAUGCGGGGUCAGCUGAAGACACAGUGGACAUCUCCCAAACUGGCGUCUACACAGAGCAUGUCUUUACAGAUCCUUUGGGAGUUCAGAUCCCAGAAGACCUCUCCCCAGUGUAUCAGUCGAGCAAUGACUCAGAUGCAUAUAAAGAUCAAAUAUCAGUACUGCCAAAUGAACAAGACUUGGUGAGAGAAGAAGCCCAGAAAAUGAGUAGUCUUUUACCAACUAUGUGGCUUGGAGCUCAAAAUGGCUGUUUGUAUGUCCAUUCAUCUGUAGCCCAGUGGAGGAAAUGUCUCCAUUCCAUUAAACUUAAAGAUUCGAUUCUCAGUAUUGUACACGUGAAGGGAAUCGUGUUAGUAGCCCUGGCUGACGGCACCCUUGCAAUCUUUCACAGAGGAGUGGAUGGGCAGUGGGAUUUGUCAAACUAUCACCUCUUAGACCUUGGACGGCCUCAUCAUUCCAUCCGUUGCAUGACUGUGGUACACGACAAAGUCUGGUGUGGCUAUAGGAACAAAAUCUAUGUGGUGCAGCCAAAGGCCAUGAAAAUAGAGAAAUCUUUUGAUGCACAUCCCAGGAAGGAGAGCCAAGUGCGACAGCUUGCGUGGGUGGGGGAUGGCGUGUGGGUCUCCAUUCGCUUGGAUUCUACGCUCCGUCUCUAUCAUGCACACACUUAUCAACAUCUACAGGAUGUGGACAUUGAGCCUUAUGUAAGCAAAAUGUUAGGUACUGGAAAACUGGGCUUCUCUUUUGUGAGAAUUACAGCUCUUAUGGUGUCUUGUAAUCGUUUGUGGGUGGGGACAGGAAAUGGUGUCAUUAUCUCCAUCCCAUUGACAGAAACCGUAAUCCUCCACCAGGGACGUUUACUGGGGCUGAGGGGGGAAAAUAUUUGGUAUUUGGUUUUUCUGUUGCAGCAAAUAAAACCUCAGGUGUACCAGGAAAUCGUCCUGGAAGUGUAAUCCGUGUAUAUGGUGAUGAAAACAGCGAUAAAGUGACUCCAGGGACAUUUAUACCCUAUUGUUCAAUGGCACAUGCACAGCUUUGCUUCCAUGGGCACCGGGAUGCUGUGAAAUUCUUUGUGGCAGUCCCAGGUCAAGUCAUCAGCCCACAAAGUAGCAGUAGUGGCACGGAUCUGACGGGUGACAAAGCAGGGCCAUCUGCACAGGAGCCUGGUAGUCAGACGCCCUUGAAGUCUAUGCUUGUCAUCAGUGGAGGAGAGGGCUACAUCGACUUCCGAAUGGGUGAUGAAGGUGGAGAAUCAGAACUUCUUGGAGAGGAUCUUCCACUUGAACCUUCUGUCACCAAAGCAGAAAGGAGUCACUUGAUAGUGUGGCAAGUGAUGUAUGGCAGUGAGUGAGCCCAUGGGAAACAGGUGGAGAUGGGGAAGCCGCCUCUUCUGCAUGGUUUAUUUUCCCUCUAUCCUUUUAUUUAAUGCUCUUUUGUGAGAUAAGUUUCACCACAUAAUGUGUGAGCAUUUUUUCCUGUUAACUUUAUAUUACAAAAUCCGUUCUACCAUAACAAUACAGAGGAACUAGCUGUGUUACUGCACCAGUGUUAUAGGUAACUUCAGUAUAUUAUGAACAAAUCAAAGAAUGUUUACUUCCUGCAAACUGGUGAAUUAUAGAAAGCAAUCCAGAUGUGGUUUACUCUGCCACAGUCUAAUGUCAUUCACUUCAUUUGAUGGGGUCACUUGUUAGCUGUCACUAAUAAUGGAAUUAAUGGGAAACACUUGAUAAAUGAAACUGUACCAUUAAAUACAAUAGCUGAGUUUUCCCCAGUGUAUUGUAAAAUUGACACACACUAAUACAAGAUGGAUUAUCAGGAUGUAUCUAAAUGUCCCGAGAGGGUUAAAAGCUAACUGUAAAUUACUUUAACUUUCACUUUCAAAUCUGACAAAUCUUGUUUAUAUGGUAUAUAAAACUUUGUUUUCAUCAGAUUUGGGGGGGUUUUAUAUUAAAGAAAUUAAGACUACACUAUUUAAAUAAA